rnacentral:rRNA from 1 species
GAUGAACGCUGGCGGCGUGCCUAAUACAUGCAAGUCGAGCGAACAGACGAGGAGCUUGCUCCUCUGACGUUAGCGGCGGACGGGUGAGUAACACGUGGAUAACCUACUUAUAAGACUGGGAUAACUUCGGGAAACCGGAGCUAAUACCGGAUAAUAUAUUGAACCGCAUGGUUCAAUAGUGAAAGACGGUUUUGCUGUCACUUAUAGAUGGUUCCGCGCCGCAUUAGCUAGUUGGUAAGGUAACGGCUUACCAAGGCAACGAUGCGUAGCCGACCUGAGAGGGUGAUCGGCCACACUGGAACUGAGACACGGUCCAGACUCCUACGGGAGGCAGCAGUAGGGAAUCUUCCGCAAUGGGCGAAAGCCUGACGGAGCAACGCCGCGUGAGUGAUGAAGGUCUUCGGAUCGUAAAACUCUGUUAUUAGGGAAGAACAAAUGUGUAAGUAACUAUGCACGUCUUGACGGUACCUAAUCAGAAAGCCACGGCUAACUACGUG